UGCAGUCGCACGAGAAAGUGGAGCAAUCCAUGAGUAAAGUGGCGCACGGGUGAGUAACACGUGAAUUAUCUACCUCCGAGUGGGGAAUAACUGAGAGAAAUCUUAGCUAAUACCGCAUAACACUUACGAGUCAAAGCAGCAAUGCGCUUGGAGAGGAGUUCGCGGCCGAUUAGUUAGUUGGCGGGGUAAUGGCCCACCAAGACGAUGAUCGGUAUCCGGCCUGAGAGGGCGCACGGACACACUGGAACUGAAACACGGUCCAGACUCCUACGGGAGGCAGCAGUGGGGAAUUUUGCGCAAUGGGGGAAACCCUGACGCAGCAACGCCGCGUGGAGGAUGAAAUCCCUUGGGAUGUAAACUCCUUUCGAUCGGGACGAUUAUGACGGUACCGGAAGAAGAAGCCCCGGCUAACUUCGUGCCAGCAGCCGCGGUAAUACGAGGGGGGCAAGCGUUGUUCGGAAUUAUUGGGCGUAAAGGGCGCGUAGGCGGUUUGACAAGUCUGAUGUGAAAUCUCUGGGCUCAACCCAGAGUCUGCAUUAGAAACUGUCGGGCUUGAGUAUGGGAGAGGUGAGUGGAAUUUCCGGUGUAGCGGUGAAAUGCGUAGAUAUCGGAAGGAACACCUGUGGCGAAAGCGGCUCACUGGACCAUAACUGACGCUGAGGCGCGAAAGCUAGGGGAGCAAACAGGAUUAGAUACCCUGGUAGUCCUAGCCCUAAACGAUGAUUGCUUGGUGUGACAGACCCAAUCCUGUCGUGCCGAAGCUAACGCGAUAAGCAAUCCGCCGGGGAGUAGGUCGCAAGGUGAAACUCAAAGGAAUUGACGGGGCCCGCACAGCGGGAGCAUG
rnacentral:rRNA from 1 species